ensembl:lncRNA
UAAUUACAAAAACAAUGUAUAGACAUGUUUUAAAAAAAAACUAUUAAAAGCGCUAAAUAAAAUGACUAAAACAUUCAAUAAAAUCAAGGUGAAAACAGAAAAUAUUAAAAUAAAAUCUAAUUUAAAAAUGUCAAUUAAGGCAGGAAUGCAAGGAGAGAAUCAUUGUUUUCCAGUGUCUUUAAAGAGUUUUUAAGGUAUUUUUUUUACUGGGAAAGCAAUCAGCAGAUUUGGUCUGAUGGUUUCAAGUAUCUUAACUAGCCUCAUUCAUACCAUGUUAGCAAAAGGUCUGUAGCAAUGCAGUGGAAGAGAUGAUGCACGUGGUAGCUGAGCAAAACAAGCAGCUCAAAGGAUUCAGCUGUUCACAAUUGUGCCCAUCAUCAUUUCAACUAUCUUAGCAUAGUAAUUGGCUAAACACAGCAAAUUAUGGAUGAUGGGGUCAGGGUUUUUGAUGUCUCCGCCCCUGCAGUAUUAAGCUCCUCCUGUGGGCGGGGUUUAACAGGGUGUCUUUUGACCCAGAGCUGUGCUGCUGUUUGGAAGCCAGAAGAUCCAGCUGGUUCUAAUCAGAGUGGGCUAUUCAAAGAGUCCAAGCCAGAAAUACAAACAGAGAUCUUUGAGGAAAGAGAGAGGGGAGAGGAAAGAGAGCAAACUUAGUUUUAGCUGAAGACAGAAAAGGCAGAGUCUAAAAAUGUCUCAUUAACUGUAAGCAUUAAUUACUAGUAGUAUAUUAACUGUUCUAAUGUGUCAUCAGCUACAGUAACAUUUCCCAAUCAAAGGAGUUUGAACAUUGUUGGCUGAUAAGAUGUAUUUGUUUACAAACAUGCUUUUGGCUUCAAUAAAUUCACAGAAAAACGGGAAAUGGACAUAUCUAAUUUUUUCUAAGUAAUAAAAAAGGAGGUAAUCUUUCCCAGCUGUCUCUAAUAUUUUUUGUUCUAUAUCUAACUCAGUUAGCACUGUUGGCGCAAGCAACGCUUCACUACAAUCCAAAAGAUUUUUCCAUGUCUGUGGAAAACAGGCCAGACUCAAACACAACAGCAUGGCUUUGACCUUGGCGGUGGGACUAAGAAAAUGAAGCCAGAUCUCACAUGACAUUCAGCUGAACAUUGACACAAAGUCAGACAGGCUCUGCACACUCCAUCAGUCUUGCCCUGCGACUCACAGGGCUGGAAUUCUCCUUGGCAGCUUCUCUCCCCUCCUUUCAGCUGUUGGAUAUAUUGCCUGGGGUAAAUUUUGUUGCAUGCACAACCAAGCAGGAGAAGGAACGAGAGGAGGAGGCCUUGUAAAGGGAAAAAUUUCAGGACUCAGGUUUAUGUUCACUGAACAGAAACAAACAAAGGAAGUGAAGUCACAUUCUUCACUGAGCGACCAAAGAUGGAGGGAGAAAAGAAUACAUUGUAACUUUCUUUUAAAGAAUCUUCAGCAUCCAUAGAAACUUUCCAUACUAAAAAAGUACUUUAUAGUGGAAAAUAUAAAACACACUCCAAGAUCAUUUGAUAAGUACUCGUGUCUCAUUUCAAACAUCUGUCCACACUUUCCAGGAG